rnacentral:rRNA from 1 species
ACGAACGCUGGCGGCAUGCUAACACCUGCAAGUCGAACGCUAUUUAUAGAGUGGCGCACGGGUGAGUAACGCGUGGGAACCUGCCUUUUUCUGCGGGAUAACGGUUGGAAACGACCGCUAAUACCGCAUACGUCCUACGGGGAGAAAGGUCCGCCGGAAAAAGAGGGGCCCGCGUCAUGAUUAGCUUGUUGGUAGGGUAAUGGCCUACCAAGGCGACGAUCAGUAGCUGGUCUGAGAGGAUGAUCAGCCACACUGGGACUGAGACACGGCCAGACUCCUACGGGAGGCAGCAGUGGGGAAUAUUGGACAAUGGGGGCAACCCUGAUCCAGCAAUGCCGCGUGUGUGAUGAAGGCCUUAGGGUUGUAAAGCACUUUCACUGGUGAAGAUGAUGACGGUAACCAGAGAAGAAGCCCCGGCUAACUUCGUGCCAGCAGCCGCGGUAAUACGAAGGGGGCGAGCGUUGUUCGGAAUUACUGGGCGUAAAGGGCGCGUAGGCGGUCUUUUAAGUUAGGCGUGAAAGCCCCGGGCUCAACCGGGAACUGCGCUUAAGACUGGAAGACUAGAAAACGGAAGAGGGUAGUUGGAAUUCCCAGUGUAGCACGGUGAAAUUCGUACAUCUUGGGAAGAACACAGUGGCCGAAAGCGGUACCUGGUCCGAUUUUGACGCUGAC